rnacentral:rRNA from 1 species
UGGACGAAAGUCUGAUGGAGCAACGCCGCGUGAGUGAAGAAGGUUUUCGGAUCGUAAAACUCUGUUGUAAGGGAAGAACAAGUACGGUAGUAACUGGCCGUACCUUGACGGUACCUUAUUAGAAAGCCACGGCUAACUACGUGCCAGCAGCCGCGGUAAUACGUAGGUGGCAAGCGUUGUCCGGAAUUAUUGGGCGUAAAGCGCGCGCAGGCGGUCCUUUAAGUCUGAUGUGAAAGCCCACGGCUCAACCGUGGAAGGUCAUUGGAAACUGGGGGACUUGAGUGCAGAAGAGGUUAGUGGAAUUCCAAGUGUAGCGGUGAAAUGCGUAGAGAUUUGGAGGAACACCAGUGGCGAAGGCGACUAACUGGUCUGUAACUGACGCUGAGGCGCGAAAGCGUGGGGAGCAAACAGGAUUAGAUACCCUGGUAGUCCACGCCGUAAACGAUGAGUGCUAAGUGUUAGGGGGUUUCCGCCCCUUAGUGCUGCAGUAAACGCAUUAAGCACUCCGCCUGGGGAGUACGGCCGCAAGGCUGAAACUCAAAGGAAUUGACGGGGGCCCGCACAAGCGGUGGAGCAUGUGGUUUAAUUCGAAGC